rnacentral:lncRNA from 1 species
UGGAAUUCUCAACCUCUAAUCAAGUUUGGGAUGCAAGUUGCAGAUUUUCUUUUGUCCACUAACAUGUUGUCUGGCAACAAUUACACAAAGGUUGCCCUCUUGUUCAAAUUCAUGAACAUGGGGAUGGUAAACAAAAACACCUUCUUCUCCAUUCAAGACAAUUACUGUGUCAACACAAUAAAGGACUUCUGGGAAGAGAGAAGGACAGAGGCUCUUCAUUGCCUUCAAGGGAAGGUUGUCAUAGUCUUAGGUGUGUAGUUUAAAAUGUAUAAUGUUACAUAACUAUUGACAUAAAGCAAUGACAUUGUGACUAUAUGUAAGCAACUAAAUGUCGAGUUAUAUUUUGAUUUUCUUCAGCAGAUGGCAGAAAUGACUCGCCUGGUCACUGUGCACAAUACUGCAGCUACACCACCAUGGAGAAUGACACCAAGGAGACAUUUAUGUUGCCACCAUAGACAAGCGGCAGACAUCAUGGAACUCUGUUGUCAUGGAGAAGGAGGGUUUCAUCCAGACUCAGAGAUAAAGCUAGUGGAGAUCUGCACAGAUGCUCAUGUUCAGAUUGGUGCCAUUAUGAGUAAGUAUUAAUCUGACACAUUGUGUAAAUACAUGUCUAUAACAGUAAUAUAAAUAUUGUAGCAAUAUGACAUAAUUGACCUCUUUAUAGACCCAGAUAAAAGGCAAAUAUAAGGCCCUUGGAAUUCAUCACAGUCUGGACAUGUGGCAUGGUGCGAAGAACCUUGCCAAAAAAAUUGCAGCCGCAGCAAAGAUAAAAGGACAGUCCAUCCUCCUCAACUGGCUGAAAGAAAUUGUGGUGUCAGUACGAGACUUGGACUCAGUUGCAGGUGCCCAAAAGGUCAGUUUAUUUAACAGGCUUGAAUUUCAAAAAAAGGGAAAAAAAGAAAACAAAAAACUAUCCAGGUACAGGGCAGCCCGGAGCAGAUCACGAAGUGCCUCCUGGACGAAUUCCACUAAGAAAAUCCACAGCAAGGCCGAGAUAAACUGACAGAGAGGCGGGGCCGCUGUUGAGGCGGGGAACUGGUGGCGCACCGGCAGCGAGGCGAAGAAGACCACUGACGGCGAUCGGUGAUCGCGAGCAAGGGAAGGGUAGGAGAAUUAGCACUGCCUGAAAGCAGGAGGUAGAGGGAGAAAACAAAACUAAAGGAUGAAAACAAAACUAGCACGAUCUCUGUGCAGGCAAAACAUGAGCUGUGGAUGGAGCUGAGACAUAAACGAGCACAACACGACGAUCUGACAACAGACAGCACACGAGAGGAAAGUAAACAAAAAACUAAUACCAGGUACAGGGCGAGCCCGGAGCA